GGGGGCGCGCUAGGGCGGUGGGCGUGGGAGGCAGGCGCUGAGGAGCGCAGGACCGCGCAGGAGCCCCGCGGCACAGCACGGCGCGCACUGGACCAGGCUCAGCCAGGUGUCUUCGCGAGGGUGGCGGGCGCCACUGCCCCCUGCCCGCGCGGCUGACGGCUGGGGGUUCGGCUGGGACUUGUGACCAGAGCUCCUCGGUUCCCCUGUCCCGGCGCUGUGUGGCCCCGGCUUGCAGCAAGAAGCUGGAUCCGAGGGAGACGCAGACGGCGCCAGCCGUGCUGAGAUGGAGGUUGGCGUUCUGUGGGCGAAGCAGGUAUGAGCCCAGCCAGGGCUCAAGGGAAGGGAAGCGACUACCGUUUGUGGACAGGAGGGGGAGAGCCUGGGGCGGCACAGCGGGCAGCGAGGGCCAGGGGUGCGGUGCAGAGUGCGGGGAGCGCACCAGCUCUGCCGGGACUUGAGACUCCAGACCUCGGCCCCCACCUUGCAGCGGCCGGGCACGCGCCCCCCUGGUGCUCCUGGUCCUCUGCCCCUGCUUCUGUGUGUCUCCUCGGGGCCCCCCAGCAGCAGGCAGCCCCCAAGACACAGCCUGCCACAGGAGGCUCCCGUGUCCAGCGAGAAGCUGCCUGCGAUUAACCCCGUGUGUGCCAUCUCGGCAGCCAGCCACACAGCGGAGAGCACCGUGGACAGCCUCGGGACAGGCCAGACACACGUGUUCAUUACGUGAACGCCCACGGAGCGCCUGCCCAGGGCUCCCGUGCGUGAGGACGUCCAUCAGCACGGGGCUCCGGGGGCCUUGGUGCUCCUCUUGGAGGGAAUGGACAGGAACCCUGCAGGGUGUGCACACGAUGGAGUACUACGCAGCAGUGAAAAGUGACAGCCGAGGGCUGCUCAGCGCAACACAGACAGAUCCGAAGCACAGGGCAUUGGGAACCAGAGUGGAGGGGCAGCCGCUUCGUGGCCGUGUGCUGACGUUGGAGCUGAGGGUCGGUCAGCCUCCCGCUGGCUGAGCCUGAGCACGCGACACCUCCCUGUGUGCAUGUCCAGGACGCACAGGCAGGAAGGCGGCUCAGAGGGCCCGGCAGGCGGGGUGGCACGGUGAGCGCGCCGAGGGCCUCGCUGUAGGGCUUUGACUGGUGUUCGUCCCAGCUAGAAGAUGCCCAGCUUUGACUCUGCCUAGAGGCGUCGGGGUCAGGGGCAGCGGCACAGCCGGCCAGAGCUGCACUUGGUCGGCCUUGGGCAGGCUCUGCUCCGUGCACCUUGUAGGCAGGUGGGCUUUGCUUCAGCCAUGGCUGGUCCCGGGGGCCGGGUGAGAGCCCUGGGCUCACAGGCCCGCCUUGGGGUUUUCGAGACCUUUUGAUGGCACCAGCCGCCCGACUUGGGGCCCCCACAUGGCGCUAACUCCAAGACUUCGUCCUUCCGUGUUUCCCACGGCCAGCGCGGACGCACCGGAUAGCCGCAUCCCUCAGCCCUGGAACCAGCAUCGGAGACAGCCGCGGAUCUGCGUGGGCCAUGGCCACGUAGCAGGCUCUGCGUGCCAAGUGCUUCCUGUGCCACUGGUCAUCGGCUCACGCUCAUCUGGUCGCACAGCUCGGAAGCAGCAGGGCUGGAUGUGGCCACCCCUCGCCUGCUCCCCUCCUGCGGUGGGAACGGGCCCCUGGGGCUUCCACUGCUGCAGGCGGCGGGGGCCUGUCUGGGGGCCUGCCCUGUGCAGGGAUUGGUGCUGUUCUCACCGGACCCUGAGCCACAAGAGCCGGCUGGGCCGGGGCCCUCGCUGCCCCAGCUCGCUGCCCCGCCGACCCCCCAGCGGCACCCGCCGGAGCCAGCCUCCCAGCUGCCCUGAAUAAAACCUCUUUUCCUGCUGA